AGGAUGGAUGGAUGACAUUAAUAAGUGCAUCAUUAAAUAAAAAUCCUCAAGUCGUUGAAGUUUUGAUUCAAUGUGGCGCAAAUCAAUAUUUGAAAACUAAUGCUGUUUGCUAGUUGACUCAUUUGCAUAAUUCACCAGACCAUGGUCUCAUCACAAUGAUGUAUUAUGAUAAUGAAUAUUCAUUGUCAAACACUUGAAAACUACAAAAAUCAGGAUACUGCUAAAAUGACACCACAGCAAGAGCAACUUCUAGAUAGCAUGUGCAUUUCACCACAGCGAAUCACGCACGUUGUAACCUUCUACCACUUGGAUAGGCCAGGGAACAUUUUAAAUAAACAUUUUGUAGAACGCUGAACAUUGCAAAGAUUUCAGCAAACCGGUGGACUCAUCCUGCUCAGCUCAAUGGCUAUAAUGUUGCUUUCUUGUUUUGUGCUUGUUAAUUCUGCUGAAUGAAAUUCUGAAGAAAAUUUAGACAUUGCACCUCUGCAACAAGUGGACCAGCCCUGCUUGGCUGAAUGGCGAAUUUUGCUUCCUUUACUGAAUGUUUUUCAGAAUGAAGCAAUUGUUGUCUUGAUCCUGCAACAACUUACCUGCAUCCACCAGUCUUCAGACUUGAACAACAAAGAAAAGUCAACACACUACUUAUAUUUUUUAUUAUCUUCAUAACCAAAAUCACAUAAUGUAAAUUAUUAGG